GUAAGCUACUAAGAGCGAAUGGUGGAUGCCUUGACUGGUAAAGGCGAUGAAGGACGUACUAGACUGCGAUAAGCUACGGGGAGCUGUCAAGAAGCUUUGAUCCGUAGAUUUCCGAAUGGGGCAACCCAAUGUAUAGAGAUAUACAUUACCUAUAUAGGAGCGAACGAGGGGAAUUGAAACAUCUUAGUACCCUCAGGAAAAGAAAUCAAUAGAGAUUGCGUCAGUAGCGGCGAGCGAAAGCGCAAGAGGGCAAACCCAGUGCUUGCACUGGGGGUUGUAGGACUGCAAUGUGCAAGAGGUGAGUUUAGCAGAACAUUCUGGAAAGUAUAGCCAUAGAGGGUGAUAGUCCCGUAUGCGAAAAACAAACCUUAGCUAGCAGUAUCCUGAGUAGGGCGGGACACGAGAAAUCCUGUCUGAAGCUGGGUCGACCACGAUCCAACCCUAAAUACUAAUACCAGAUCGAUAGUGCACAAGUACCGUGAGGGAAAGGUGAAAAGAACUGAGGUGAUCAGAGUGAAAUAGAACCUGAAACCAUUUGCUUACAAUCAUUCAGAGCCCUAUGUAGCAAUACAGGGUGAUGGACUGCCUUUUGCAUAAUGAGCCUGCGAGUUGUGGUGUCUGGCAAGGUUAAGCAAACGCGAAGCCGUAGCGAAAGCGAGUCUGAAUAGGGCGCUUAGUCAGAUGCUGCAGACCCGAAACGAAGUGAUCUAUCCAUGAGCAAGUUGAAGCUAGUGUAAGAACUAGUGGAGGACUGAACCCAUAGGCGUUGAAAAGCCCCGGGAUGACUUGUGGAUAGGGGUGAAAGGCCAAUCAAACUUCGUGAUAGCUGGUUCUCUCCGAAAUAUAUUUAGGUAUAGCGUUGUGUCGUAAUAUAAGGGGGUAGAGCACUGAAUGGGCUAGGGCAUACACCAAUGUACCAAACCCUAUCAAACUCCGAAUACCUUAUAUGUAAUCACAGCAGUCAGGCGGCGAGUGAUAAAAUCCGUCGUCAAGAGGGAAACAACCCAGACUACCAGCUAAGGUCCCUAAAUCUUACUUAAGUGGAAAACGAUGUGAAGUUACUUAAACAACCAGGAGGUUGGCUUAGAAGCAGCCAUCCUUUAAAGAAAGCGUAAUAGCUCACUGGUCUAGUGAUUUUGCGCGGAAAAUAUAACGGGGCUAAAGUAAGUACCGAAGCUGUAGACUUGCGCACAACUUAGAUUAUUUAAGUUUAGAAUAUGAGAAACUAAGUUAUAUGUUUAGUUAUAUUUUUACUGAUUUUUAUAGAGUAAAGAUAGAAAUAAAACUUAGUAAAAUCAGUAAAAAUAUUCUUAGACUAAAGUUAAGUAGUUUAAGUUGUGUGCAAGUGGUAGGAGAGCGUUCUAUUUGCGUCGAAGGUAUACCGGUAAGGAGUGCUGGAGCGAAUAGAAGUGAGCAUGCAGGCAUGAGUAGCGAUAAUUAAUGUGAGAAUCAUUAACGCCGUAAACCCAAGGUUUCCUACGCGAUGCUCGUCAUCGUAGGGUUAGUCGGGUCCUAAGUCGAGUCCGAAAGGGGUAGACGAUGGCAAAUUGGUUAAUAUUCCAAUACCAACAUUAGUGUGCGAUGGAAGGACGCUUAGGGCUAAGGGGGCUAGCGGAUGGAAGUGCUAGUCUAAGGUCGUAGGAGGUUAUACAGGCAAAUCCGUAUAACAAUACUCCGAGAACUGAAAGGCUUUUUGAAGUCUUCGGAUGGAUAGAAGAACCCCUGAUGCCGUCGAGCCAAGAAAAGUUUCUAAGUUUAGCUAAUGUUGCCCGUACCGUAAACCGACACAGGUGGGUGGGAUGAGUAUUCUAAGGCGCGUGGAAGAACUCUCUUUAAGGAACUCUGCAAAAUAGCACCGUAUCUUCGGUAUAAGGUGUGGUUCGCUUCGUAUUAGGAUUUACUCCGAAAGCGAAGAAACUUACAACAAAGAGUCCCUCCCGACUGUUUACCAAAAACACAGCACUCUGCUAACUCGUAAGAGGAUGUAUAGGGUGUGACGCCUGCCCGGUGCUCGAAGGUUAAUUGAUGGGGUUAGCAUUAGCGAAGCUCUUGAUCGAAGCCCGAGUAAACGGCGGCCGUAACUAUAACGGUCCUAAGGUAGCGAAAUUCCUUGUCGGUUAAAUACCGACCUGCAUGAAUGGCGUAACGAGAUGGGAGCUGUCUCAAAGAGGGAUCCAGUGAAAUUGUAGUGGAGGUGAAAAUUCCUCCUACCCGCGGCAAGACGGAAAGACCCCGUGGACCUUUACUACAGCUUGACACUGCUAUUUGGAUAAGAAUGUGCAGGAUAGGUGGGAGGCUUUGAGUAUAUGACGCCAGUUGUAUAUGAGCCAUUGUUGAGAUACCACUCUUUCUUAUUUGGGUAGCUAACCAGCUUGAGUUAUCCUCAAGUGGGACAAUGUCUGGUGGGUAGUUUGACUGGGGCGGUCGCCUCCCAAAUAAUAACGGAGGCUUACAAAGGUUGGCUCAGAACGGUUGGAAAUCGUUCGUAGAGUAUAAAGGUAUAAGCCAGCUUAACUGCAAGACAUACAAGUCAAGCAGAGACGAAAGUCGGUCUUAGUGAUCCGGUGGUUCUGUGUGGAAGGGCCAUCGCUCAAAGGAUAAAAGGUACCCCGGGGAUAACAGGCUGAUCUCCCCCAAGAGCUCACAUCGACGGGGAGGUUUGGCACCUCGAUGUCGGCUCAUCGCAUCCUGGGGCUGGAGCAGGUCCCAAGGGUAUGGCUGUUCGCCAUUUAAAGCGGUACGCGAGCUGGGUUCAGAACGUCGUGAGACAGUUCGGUCCCUAUCUGCCGUGGGCGUAAGAAGAUUGAAGAGAUUUGACCCUAGUACGAGAGGACCGGGUUGAACAAACCACUGGUGUAGC
rnacentral:rRNA from 1 species